rnacentral:tRNA from 1 species
GGAAGCACUUACGUAACUGGUGUUCGUACAGGUCUUCAAAACCUUGUUGUGGGUGUAAAAGUCCAUAGGUGGGUUCGAUUCCCAUGUGCUUCC